CGGACGGGAGCCGGUUGGGAACGCGGUCGUCUCUCUGUUUGAUGCUCUGUGCGUUCGUCGAUUAAACGUUUCCCGUUCGUUUCUCGGUGCUUCUGCCCGCGGUCGUUUCUGCAGCUCCGGUAGGAUGCUGCUGCAUUUACAGUGCAAUCAAAUGAGAACGUGACAGAGACUCUGAAAUCCGUGAAAGAAAAGACUGAGGCUGAAGAAGCUCCACCUGGGGAAGUCAAGGUGAAGGAAACCCCUGCUGCUGCUGCUGUGGGAAAGGAGGCCAUCCCUGCUGAGCCAGAUGAGCCAACAGAGCAGGCUGCGGGAACAAAAUUUUUCACAGUUAGAGGGACAGAAUCACCACGUGCUGCAGAAGAGCUGAAGCGAAUGGUACAACUGGUGGCACCCAAACUGCAGACUGUAUGAUCUGGGAGAGCAGUGCAAAGAAGAGUGGUCAGCUGUGUCCGAAAGCUGAGCGUGGAGCCAAGUACAGAUAGAGCACUGCAGUAUGAUGCCAUUUAAAGGCACCACUGCAUGUACAGCUGAGUGUGGACCUGGAGGAAAGUGAUUCUGCACAAACUGAUGAGCUUUGUGACCCACCUCUUUGAACAAUCCCCUGCCGUGUGUUUCAGCCCAACGUAUGUGGAAGAAGUGUUCCAGGAAGUUUUCCUGCAAACUGGAGAGUAUCGGAGCAGGGGAUAAGGAGACAACUGGAAUUGCUGAGAAAGAGAGCGAGGUGGUGAGUGCUGCAGAUGGGGCACUGGAGUGGAAGACAGCGUGGUGGUGGGAGCAGGAGCUGGUGAGGGUGCUGCUCCCACGGAACAGGAGGCUGCUGCUGGAGGUGACAAACCUCAGGGAGAAGAAAAGGAGAUUGAUGUUUCCCAGGAAAAGGUCAGCAGCAUCCCUUCAGUAGUAAUGGAGCCAGCAUCGAACAGCGCAGGGGAAGGAGAAGAACCUGAUGUCAUGAUGAAUGAGUCCGAAGAUGCUGCAGCAGAGAUGGGCACUCAGGCACUGACAGUGAAACUUGCCAAGUUGGAAGUGAGCAGGAACCAAUUGAAGAAAUGCAGACUGCACCUUCUCGAGAUCAGCCUGCGUCAGCAGGAGGCACAGCUUCUGACAUGCCACUGGGCUUUCUCUUUAAGGUUGAAGUUCUGCAUGAUUUUGAGGCAGCUAACGGUGAUGAGCUUAAUUUAAAACGGGGGGAUAUUGCACUAGUAAUUCCUUCUGAGACCACAGCUGAUCAGGUGAAAUGGAUAGCACUCAGGAGAACCCAGCACUUUCCAACAUGAAAUCUUCCUUUUGAUUGAUGGAUUUGGAUUGCAGCAUAGCAUGUCAAGAUCUGGCUUAGGCUGAAGCUUCCAGGAAUUUCUGGAAAAGGUUGUUGAGUAUCAACUGACUUUUAGUUUCUAGCAAUUAUGAUGGCAGAGAAAACAAGAACUGUUAUUUCUUCUGACUGUCAAUACAGGAAUGAGAGAAAAGAACUCUCAGAAAAAAAUAAUCCGAUGAAAACAUGGAUUUUUCCCCUCAUCUGUGGCAUUCUGUAAUGAUUCUAGAGCACUGCUGUGCUCUUCCUGUGUCAGUAUCCCAAUAUUGCUGUGAGAACUUUGAAAACAUCUCCACGUGCAUUUGCACAAAUGCAGGUUUGCUGUGACACUGGAUGACUCCAGAGGCUGAUCAUCCAAUGUUCAGUUCAGUUGGAGGUUAGGUGGGAUAUAGGCCAUCUAAUGUGCUCACAGUCUCACAAAACCAUGGCAGAACAGAGAAAACAAUCUGUGCAAAAUCAGAGUAUGCUAUGUAACAAGUCACCACUUCUUUUGGCCUUUAAAACUUCUCCGGGCCUGGAGUCUGCAGAAAGGAAUGGGAGAGAGCUGACCCUGAAGAUGCUCUGUCUUUUCUCUUUCAGGAGGCUGCUUGACAGGCAUUAAGGAAUCUGAGUGGCUUCAGCACAGAGAUGCGAAUGGUUAUGAAGGACUUUUCCCAGAGAACUUCACACGCCACCUGGAACAGUUCUCACAGGCACACGAAUGUGGUUUGAAGCUCAGUCAGUGGGUUCUUCACCUCCUUGAAACACAGGAGCCCCCUUUUUUUGUAGUUCAGGCUGUUAAUGGUUUACAGAAUGGUUGCUUGUUGAAGCGUAUCAAAAUGAGCAUGAGUGCAAGCAGUUAAGCUAGCCAUUUCUGAAGCAGUGUGUGAGAAAAAAUCAAAUACAAACAGAAAUGUCCUCAUUUGUUCACAUGCACGUGGCAACAGGUUUGUCUGUGCUUUGCCAGAGCUGUGGUGAUCUGUGUUUGGUCCUUUCCCAUGAAAUCCAAAAUUAGCCUCCUUGGUAGCAAAACCUGAACUUGUCUGCACUCAGUGCAUCGUAUUGAGUUGCACUGCAGAAAACUUUAAUUAGUAAUCCUGUAGUAAUGAGGUCAAACUAUUACAAGUUUCACGUGUUUAAGAAAUAUCAUUAACUGCUGCAAUGUUUUCCAGUGUUACUUGGACGUGUGUCUGCAGGUGCAUGUGGGUAUGUGUGCAUCUCAGCAAUGUCAUGCAGUGCUUUGGCUGUGCAGUGCCAUCAGGGCAUGCGUUGCUCUCCCACUGUCUGGCAUUACAGACAACAGUUUUGUUCCAAAGCAGAACCAGCUGCUCCAUUGCCAAAGCACUGCACAGCAUCCGUGUGAGUGAGGUGAGGUUUUCAUUCUGAGAUGAUGAAUGGCAUCGUUUUCAAAGCUGUUGAACCUUUGAGAAGGCAUGGCUCAGUUUCCUCUUCCGGUUGCAGUAGUUACAGUGAGGUAAUCUGGAAGGGGAACUGUUAUGAUGCUCAUCUAUACUUUUUUAUUUAGUUGGCUGAAUAAAAAAAAAACACGACAAAGUUAAUCUCUGAGAAAUAAACAUCUUUUCACAAUAACAUUUAUGCAGCGCACCUUACAGAUCCUUUUAAAUUAAGGUACAUAAUGUAUGCUGUAUCAAAAAGUCACCUGUAACUUCUGUUUUGCAGUGCUGUGUCAUUAAAAAUAAACCUGUGAUCCACAGA